GCGGGACGUGAUAGGGGAUCUCGAGUGCCAGCAUAUAAUGUUGGCUGUCCAGAUGCCUAAAAAGCAUCUGUUUGCAAGGGCCGGGCAAGACCGGUGCCAGCCGCCGCGGUAACACCGGCGGCCCGAGUGGUAACCGCUAUUAUUGGGUCUAAAGGGUCUGUAGCCGGCCAGGUAAGUCCCUUGGGAAAUCUGGCAGCUCAACUGCCAGGCUGCUAGGGGAUACUGUUUGGCUUGGGACCGGGAGAGGUGAGAGG
rnacentral:rRNA from 1 species